rnacentral:rRNA from 1 species
UACGUAGGCAGCGAGCGUUGUUCGGAGUUACUGGGCGUAAAGGGUGUGUAGGCGGUUGUUUUAAGUUUGGUGUGAAAUCUCCCGGCUCAACUGGGAGGGUGCGCCGAAUACUGAAUGACUUGGAGUGCGGGAGAGGAGAGUGGAAUUCCUGGUGUAGCGGUGAAAUGCGUAGAUAUCAAGAGGAACACCUGAGGUGAAGACGGGUUGCUGGGCUGACACUGACGCUGAGGCGCGAAAGCCAGGGGAGCAAACGGG